rnacentral:rRNA from 1 species
GACGAACGCUGGCGGCGUGCUUAACACAUGCAAGUCGAACGGAAAGGCCCUGCUUUUGUGGGGUGCUCGAGUGGCGAACGGGUGAGUAACACGUGAGUAACCUGCCCUUGACUUUGGGAUAACUUCAGGAAACUGGGGCUAAUACCGGAUAGGAGCUCCUGCUGCAUGGUGGGGGUUGGAAAGUUUCGGCGGUUGGGGAUGGACUCGCGGCUUAUCAGCUUGUUGGUGGGGUAGUGGCUUACCAAGGCUUUGACGGGUAGCCGGCCUGAGAGGGUGACCGGCCACAUUGAGACUGAGAUACGGCCCAGACUCGUACGGGAGGCAGCAGUGGGGAAUAUUGCACAAUGGGCGGAAGCCUGAUGCAGCAACGCCGCGUGCGGGAUGACGGCCUUCGGGUUGUAAACCGCUUUCGCCUGUGACGAAGCGUGAGUGACGGUAAUGGGUAAAGAAGCACCGGCUAACUACGUG